rnacentral:rRNA from 1 species
GAUGAACGCUGGCGGCGUGCUUAACACAUGCAAGUCGAACGGAAAGGCCCAAGCUUGCUUGGGUACUCGAGUGGCGAACGGGUGAGUAACACGUGGGUGAUCUGCCCUGCACUUCGGGAUAAGCCUGGGAAACUGGGUCUAAUACCGGAUAGGACCACUUCUUGGAUGUUGUGGUGGAAAGUUUUUUCGGUGUGGGAUGAGCUCGCGGCCUAUCAGCUUGUUGGUGGGGUAAUGGCCUACCAAGGCGUCGACGGGUAGCCGGCCUGAGAGGGUGUACGGCCACAUUGGGACUGGGAUACGGCCCAGACUCCUACGGGAGGCAGGAGUGGGGAAUAUUGCACAAUGGGCGCAAGCCUGAUGCAGCGACGCCGCGUGGGGGAUGACGGCCUUCGGGUUGUAAACUCCUUUCGCUAGGGACGAAGCGUUUUUGUGACGGUACCUGGAGAAGAAGCACCGGCUAACUACGUG